rnacentral:rRNA from 1 species
UACGUAGGCAGCGAGCGUUGUUCGGAGUUACUGGGCGUAAAGAGUGCGUAGGCGGUGGACUAAGUCUGGUGUGAAAUCUCCCGGCUCAACUGGGAGGGUGCGCUAGAAACUGGUCUGCUGGAGUGUGGGAGAGGUAAGCGGAAUUCCUGGUGUAGCGGUGAAAUGCGUAGAUAUCAGGAGGAACACCUGCGGUGUAGACGGCUUACUGGACCAUGACUGACGCUGAGGCACGAAAGCGUGGGUAGCAAACAGG